AGGACUAUAGCUCAGUUGGUUAGAGCGCUACCUUGACAUGGUAGAGGUCCCCAGUUCAAAUCUGGGUAGUCCUACCA
rnacentral:tRNA from 2 species